AGUCGAGCGGGGAAUGUAGCUUGCUACAUUGCCUAGCGGCGGACGGGUGAGUANNGCUUAGGAAUCUGCCUAUUAGUGGGGGACAACAUUCCGAAAGGAAUGCUAAUACCGCAUACGUCCUACGGGAGAAAGCAGGGGACCUUCGGGCCUUGCGCUAAUAGAUGAGCCUAAGUCGGAUUAGCUAGUUGGUGGGGUAAAGGCCUACCAAGGCGACGAUCUGUAGCGGGUCUGAGAGGAUGAUCCGCCACACUGGGACUGAGACACGGCCCAGACUCCUACGGGAGGCAGCAGUGGGGAAUAUUGGACAAUGGGGGGAACCCUGAUCCAGCCAUGCCGCGUGUGUGAAGAAGGCCUUUUGGUUGUAAAGCACUUUAAGCGAGGAGGAGGCUACUAGUAUUAAUACUACUGGAUAGUGGACGUUACUCGCAGAAUAAGCACCGGCUAACUCUGUGCCAGCAGCCGCGGUAAUACAGAGGGUGCGAGCGUUAAUCGGAUUUACUGGGCGUAAAGCGUGCGUAGGCGGCUGAUUAAGUCGGAUGUGAAAUCCCUGAGCUUAACUUAGGAAUUGCAUUCGAUACUGGUCAGCUAGAGUAUGGGAGAGGAUGGUAGAAUUCCAGGUGUAGCGGUGAAAUGCGUAGAGAUCUGGAGGAAUACCGAUGGCGAAGGCAGCCAUCUGGCCUAAUACUGGCGCUGAGGUACGAAAGCAUGGGGAGCAAACAGGAUUAGAUACCCUGGUAGUCCAUGCCGUAAACGAUGUCUACUAGCCGUUGGGGCCUUUGAGGCUUUAGUGGCGCAGCUAACGCGAUAAGUAGACCGCCUGGGGAGUACGGUCGCAAGACUAAAACUCAAAUGNAUUGACGGGGGCCCGCACNAGCGGUGGAGCAUGUGGUUUAAUUCGAUGCAACG
rnacentral:rRNA from 1 species